GACGAACGCUGGCGGCGUGCUUAACACAUGCACGUCGAACGAAGUGGCGAACGGGUGAGUAACGCGUAAUCAACCUGCCCUUCAGAGGGGGACAACAGUUGGAAACGACUGCUAAUACCGCAUACUGAAGGAGGGGAUUGCGUCUGAUUAGCUAGUUGGAGGGGUACCGGCCCACCAAGGCGAUGAUCAGUAGGCGGUCGGAGAGGAGGAACGGCAACAUUGGGACUGAGACACGGCCCAGACUCCUACGGGAGGCAGAAGUGGGGAAUCUUCCGCAAUGGACGAAAGUCUGACGGAGCAACGCCGCGUGAGUGAUGACGGCCUUCGGGUUGUAAAGCUCUGUUAAUCGGGACGCGGUACCGGAAUAGAAAGCCACGGCUAACUCCGUGCCAGCCGCCGCGGUAAUUC
rnacentral:rRNA from 1 species